AUUGAACGCUGGCGGCAUGCCUUACACAUGCAAGUCGAACGGUAACAGGUCUUCGGAUGCUGACGAGUGGCGAACGGGUGAGUAAUACAUCGGAACGUGCCUAGUAGUGGGGGAUAACUACUCGAAAGAGUGGCUAAUACCGCAUGAGAUCUACGGAUGAAAGCAGGGGAUCGCAAGACCUUGUGCUACUAGAGCGGCCGAUGGCAGAUUAGGUAGUUGGUGGGAUAAAAGCUUACCAAGCCGACGAUCUGUAGCUGGUCUGAGAGGACGAUCAGCCACACUGGGACUGAGACACGGCCCAGACGCCUACGGGAGGCAGCAGUGGGGAAUUUUGGACAAUGGGCGCAAGCAUGAUCCAGCAAUGCCGCGUGCAGGAUGAAGGACUUCGGGUUGUAAACUGCUUUUGUACGGAACGAAAAGCCCUGGGUUAAUACCCUGGGGUCAUGACGGUACCGUAAGAAUAAGCACCGGCUAACUACGUGCCAGCAGCCGCGGUAAGAC
rnacentral:rRNA from 1 species